AGUAUUAUGCCUGAUAUAAGGAUUAAAUUGUAAAUUUAAAGAUGAAAUAAAUAUUUCUGAUACUA
rnacentral:tRNA from 1 species